GGAGGGAGGGAGAGAGAGCAAAAAGUGAUGAAGUGAUGUUUAUUUUCCAUUUUGAUUUUCCCUUUGGUUUUAGGGUAAACAUCUUCUCUAGUUUCCUGUCACCAGAUACUUAGGUGGCACAGAUGUCUGCAAGGCCAUUCUUGUGUCCUUGAGCCCCUCUGGCCCAACACUGGCUGAAGCCCAUCUUCCAGGCCCUGAACAAUUAAAGGCCAUAAGCUCAGAGUUGGUUUUGAUCAGUUUCUACCCAUGCAGGUGAGUUUUAUUUUAACUUGACACAAGCUAGAGUCCUCAGAGAGGUGGGAGCCUCAGUAGAAGAGAUGCCUCUGUAAGAUCAGGCUGUAGGCAAGCCUGUAGGGCAUUUUCUUAAUUAGUAAUUUAUGUGGGAGGCCCAGCCCAUUGUGGGUGAUGCCAUCCUUGGGCUGGCGGUCCUGGGUUCUAGAAGAAAUAAAACUCUUUCCCGCCUUGCUUUUGGUCAUGGUGUUUCAUCACAGCAGUACUCACCACAGCCUUUCCCUCUGCCAGGUUCAGGCAAGCGAAGGCAUGCCUGAGGCAGCAGUCGCUGUGGCUGCUCCCAGAUCUCAUCGAUCUCGUCGCCAGACCCUCAUCUGCUUUUGUCCCGAAGCCUGAGACUAGGCCUCCUAUCUCGGAAGCUCCUCUGACUCCUUCACACCAUCAUCUGCUUACUAAUCUUCAUAGACAGCUUGAUUUCUCAUCUGCUUAAGCAACUAGUUUUUUCUCUUCUCUUUACACUUAGUUCCUAAACUCCCACCCUUGUAAAAAGCAAUUUUAUGUUUAAAAUGUCUUAUCUCAUUAUAUUAUAAUAAAUUAAAUUAAUAAAAUCGGAUUUUAAAA
ensembl:processed_transcript Gm20627 predicted gene 20627